AUGGCCUGCCUUCUCUCUCCUCCCUCUCUCUCGGUGAGCCGCCACCGGUCCCCCUCCAUCUCUCCUCCCCGAUUUCCUCUCCCGAGUGAUUGGCGCCACCCACCGAUUUCCAUCUCUCCUCCCCGAUGAGCUUUACCGAAUACGCCCCGACCCCCCUUAGAUAUUAAACUCUUCUAAUUCACUUAAUCAAACACUACAAUAUAUGAUAAUUAAACUCGACCAAAAUAAAAUAUUUAUGUCCCGAUCUACCGUUCUGAAACACCCUAGCAGCCAUUUCCGCUAAUACAUCAGCCAGUGACCAACUCGCUGGAAUUGAGACACACUAGUGUCGCCCCACUCCUCUCCUGUGUCGCAACCAAUCGUCGCUGCUGAUAUUCGAAGUCACUGGAUUGGAUUACGAGUCAUUCCGUCAUCACCUCCUUGGUUCUGUUACGCCGCUGCCGUGCAUCACUUUUGCUCCAUCUUGAUUUAAGGUGAAUGACGAAAUGUUUAACAAAGAUGAGUUAUUGAUGUAGCUCUGGUGAUAGAUGUCUUUUUGUAGAUCACAAACCGGGUUGGGAGCUUGCGAAAAAAAUAUUGGUUGAAGCUUCAUAUCAAUCCUUGGGAUUGAGAAAUCCAUCACAACAUCUUUCUAGAUCGGGUCCUCCUGGAGUUUUAUCCCCAAGGGGCCCAACUCCAAUUCAUGUUGAUACAAGAUCACCACCAAGACCAACUUAACCCAAUUCUUCAACUCAACCAAGACCAACUGUAGCUAACAUGAUUCAAGCCCAAGUGAACGCUUUAUCUGCUACAGUUUGUUCACAAGGUGAAACAAUCAAGAUGUUGGUUGAAGCAAAGUGAAAAGAUUUCAAAGUUAAAAAAAAAAUGAUAAGGUGUAUCAAGAAACUUUUGACAAGUUGCUUACUAAGAAUGCUUCUUUGAAAGAACAAUAUGCUGAGCUUGCAAAGCGACUUGGUGCUCAGGGGGAGAAGUCUGGUACGGGUCGUAAAGGUAAUGAGUUACAAGGAAAAGACAGUUGAUAAGGUUGGAACUGUUGCUGAGGAGAUGUAGAAGGUUGUUGAUAAAGCUAUUGCAGAUUCAGUAAAACA
rnacentral:lncRNA from 1 species